AACGACCAUACCAUGCUGAAUAUACCGGUUCUCGUUAGAUCACCGAAGUCAAGCAACAUUGGGAGCGGUCAGUACAUGGGUGGGUGACCAUCUGGGAACACCGCGUGCCGUU
rnacentral:rRNA from 1 species